GAUGAACGCUGGCGGCGUGCCUAAUACAUGCAAGUCGAGCGAACGGACGAGAAGCUUGCUUCUCUGAUGUUAGCGGCGGACGGGUGAGUAACACGUGGAUAACCUACCUAUAAGACUGGGAUAACUUCGGGAAACCGUAGCUAAUACCGGAUAAUAUUUUGAACCGCAUGGUUCAAAAGUGAAAGACGGUCUUGCUGUCACUUAUAGAUGGAUCCGCGCUGCAUUAGCUAGUUGGUAAGGUAACGGCUUACCAAGGCAACGAUGCAUAGCCGACCUGAGAGGGUGAUCGGCCACACUGGAACUGAGACACGGUCCAGACUCCUACGGGAGGCAGCAGUAGGGAAUCUUCCGCAAUGGGCGAAAGCCUGACGGAGCAACGCCGCGUGAGUGAUGAAGGUCUUCGGAUCGUAAAACUCUGUUAUUAGUGAAGAACAUAUGUGUAAGUAACUGUGCACAUCUUGACGGUACCUAAUCAGAAAGCCACGGCUAACUACGUGC
rnacentral:rRNA from 1 species